rfam:Jatropha curcas cultivar GZQX0401 scaffold2122_6, whole genome shotgun sequence.
GCCAACUUGAGUUUGAUGAUGGCUCUGAUUGAACGCUAUCCAAAUGCUUGACACAUGCUAAUCGUACGGUAUUAUUUAUACAAAUAGAUAAUGCAGUGGUGUACAGGUGAGUAUAUGAUAAUUUGACUGCCUUAGAGUAAGGAACAAAUUCCUUAUAUGUUUGUAUUGGUAAACCAUACAAAGAAAAGAAGAAAUUCGCUUUAAGAUGUUCGUUAUUUUUCGGGUAAGUAGUAGUUAAGGUAAUUGCUUAACUAGCUUAAGCUCGUAAUCGAAACUGAGAGGUUUAUCGAUCACAUUGGGUCUGAAAAAACCCCAAUACGUAUUGUACAGCAGUGAGGAAUAUUGGUCAAUAGUCUAACGACUGAACCAGCAACUUGGAAGAAUGUGCAUUAAUUAUUAUAUUAAUACAAAACUGGCUAUCCUUAUAAAGUUCUAGAUAGAAUAAUGAAAGAUGACAAUUUACUAUCUAUGUGUCUUGACCAAAUCUUGUGCCAGCAGUCGCGGUAAUACAAGGGAGACUAGUGUUAUUCAUCUUUAUUAGGUUUAAAGGGUACCUAGACCGUCUAUUUUGCCAGGCAAAUCAGUUCCUGCCGACGACUACUAAAAAAAAUUAGCUUUACAGGUAUACUUUAAAAUUGGAACAAAAUAGACUAGAGUUUUUUGUGGGAGGAAUAUGUAAGUACUAAUAGAGUAGAGUUAAUAUUUUGUAAUACUAUUAGGACUGGUAACGGUGAAAACAAUCCUCUAUAAAAAACUGACGUUGAGGGACGAAGGCUUGGGUAACGAAUAGGAUUAGAUACCCUAAUAGUCCAUGCAGAAAAUUAUGAGUGCCAUAAACUACUUGUUUAUAAAUGAAAGUGUAAGCAUUCCACCUCAAGAGUAAUUUGGCAACAUUGAAACUGAAAUCAUUAGACCGUUUCUGAAACCAGUAGUGAAGUAUGUUAUUUAAUUCGAUAAUCCUCGAAAAACCUUACCACAACUUGAAUAAUAAUUAAAUUUAAUUAUUACAAGCGUUGCACGGCUGUCUCCAGUUAAUGUCGUGAGAAUUGGUUAGAUCCUGUAAAUUAACGUAAGCCCAUUCUUUAUUUUUAAAUCUGAAGAUAUCAUUUCUCGGGAAAGGGGUAGUGAUAUCUUGACUAUAAAGAAGAUCGUCAAUAUAUUGAAUAUUAUAAAAGGGACUAAGACAAGUCAUCAUGACCUAAACUCAGUUGUGGGCUAUAGACGUGCCACAUGUGCCUAGACAAAGGGAUGCAAAAUUGUGAAUUUGAGCUAAUCCCCAAAAUAGGAUAAAAAUUAUGAAUUGUAGUCUGUAAUUCGACUACAUGAAAAAGGAAUUACUAGUAAUCGUGAAUCACCACGUCACGGUGAAUCUAAUCUCAGAUAGGUACUAACCACUCGUCAGGCACUGAAAGGAGUAUGUGCAAUAAGUUUGGUUUUUAUUAGGUUUUCUUAUUAUGAUUUUAUUCUUAAUAAGAAUGAUUUUAUUCUUAAGUAUUUUUAUAGUAAUAGCUUAGUAGAUAAUCUUCGUAUGCGUGACUCUAAUUGGUGUUAAGUCGAAAUACGGUUCGUGUAGUGGAAAUUGCACGGGAUUCAUUAAACUU